UAAAGAAGAAAAAGACUGAAGACCAGCGGAACCAUGAAGCACACACAACAAGCAAAUUUCCCUGCACUUCAACGGGCCAAGUACGUGCACGCAUGGGCCAGAAGCUGAAAGAUGUCCGUGCAUCUCGAAGACGUGCAGAAAAGCAGAUUGGGACCAAAGCACAAUGUCUACCAUGAUACAACCACCCAAGUACCUACAGCCAGUGACAACAGACAAAUUCUCAAAUCAAUUAUGUUGUGAUCAGGAGGAUGAAAGUUUUUAGUGUUGAUUUUCUUUUCUUUUUUUUUACAUCUGGGUUUGCAAAAUGAGGAAAGAUAUAUUAUAAAAUUUGAUUUGAAUUGGUGACAUUAUUAUUAGCUUCCUCUCCUAUUGAGAUCAGCACUAAUUGGCAAUGAUGGUAUACUUU